AGAUUGAACGCUGGCGGCAGGCCUAACACAUGCAAGUCGAGCGGUAGAGAGGUGCUUGCACCUCUUGAGAGCGGCGGACGGGUGAGUAAUGCCUAGGAAUCUGCCUAGUGGUGGGGGAUAACGUUCGGAAACGGACGCUAAUACCGCAUACGUCCUACGGGAGAAAGCGGGGGACCCUCGGGCCUCGCGCCAUUAGAUGAGCCUAGGUCGGAUUAGCUAGUUGGUGAGGUAAUGGCUCACCAAGGCGACGAUCCGUAACUGGUCUGAGAGGAUGAUCAGUCACACUGGAACUGAGACACGGUCCAGACUCCUACGGGAGCAGCAGUGGGAAUA
rnacentral:rRNA from 1 species